rnacentral:misc_RNA from 1 species
AGCGAAAGUACAAACAAAGAGAGACGAGCACUUUUCACGCAGCUGAAAAGAAAAGAAACAGAAAGAACCAAUGCCCACAUACGCAUAUACCACGAUCAAUCGAACACGCAUGAUUUCUUCAACUUCCCAAGAAACCCCAAUAAGAAAACCAUCCCACAUCUUGGAUUCUGUUUCCCAAAACACCUAACAACAGAAAUGGCCUCG